GAUCUCUUGGCACUCACAUCAAUUAACAACUCUUCGAAAAGCGAUAAAUAAUGUAAAUUGCAUAAUUCUUUGAAUCAUCCAAUCUAAGAACGCACCUUGAGCUUCCUGGUAUUCCGGGGAGCACGCCUGUUCGAGUGUCUCGAAAUUUCUCAAGCUUGGAUGGAUUUUUUGUCCGUCCCUUAACCUUGGUUGUUGGGCAUUGCCGUGUCCUUCAUUGGUAAGGCUGGCCUUAAAAGCAUCAACUGAUCCUCGUGUGGCACUGGUUCAACUCAACGUGAUAACAGUCUGAUCCCUGAGGACAUCUUUUGGGAUGGCCAACUCUCAUUUGGGUUGCUUCUAAACUUGGUUUCACAGAUUGUGCAAUCU
rnacentral:misc_RNA from 1 species